CCUACGGGAGGCAGCAGUGGGGAAUAUUGCACAAUGGGGGAAACCCUGAUGCAGCGACGCCGCGUGCAGGAUGACGGCUCUAUGAGUUGUAAACUGCUUUUGUACGAGAAUAAUAGUUCUUACGUGUAGGGAUUUGAAUGUAUCGUACGAAUAAGGAUCGGCUAACUCCGUGCCAGCAGCCGCGGUAAUACGGAGGAUUCGAGCGUUAUCCGGAUUUAUUGGGUUUAAAGGGUGCGUAGGCGGUUGGAUGAGUUAGAGGUCAAAUGUCGGGGCUCAACCCCGGCCCGCCGUUGAAACUGGCAGUGUCGAGUUGGAGAGAAGUAUGCGGAAUGCGCGGUGUAGCGGUGAAAUGCAUAGAUAUCGCGCAGAACUCCGAUUGCGAAGGCAGCAUGCCGGCUCCACACUGACGCUGAGGCACGAAAGCGUGGGUAUCGAACAGGAUUAGAUACCCUAGUAGUC
rnacentral:rRNA from 1 species